rnacentral:rRNA from 1 species
AACGAACGCUGGCGGCAGGCCUAACACAUGCAAGUCGAGCGAGCAUUUCGGUGCUAGCGGCGGACGGGUGAGUAACGCGUGGGAACGUGCCCUUUUCUGCGGAAUAGUCCUGGGAAACUGGGGGUAAUACCGCAUACGCCCUUUUGGGGAAAGAUUUAUCGGAGAAGGAUCGGCCCGCGUUGGAUUAGGUAGUUGGUGGGGUAAUGGCCCACCAAGCCGACGAUCCAUAGCUGGUUUGAGAGGAUGAUCAGCCACACUGGGACUGAGACACGGCCCAGACUCCUACGGGGGCAGCAGUGGGGAAUCUUAGACAAUGGGGGCAACCCUGAUCUAGCCAUGCCGCGUGAGUGAUGAAGGCCUUAGGGUUGUAAAGCUCUUUCAGCUGGGAAGAUAAUGACGGUACCAGCAGAAGAAGCCCCGGCUAACUCCGUG